rnacentral:lncRNA from 1 species
GGAUAUUGGCUUGUUCACAAUAAACUCGGUACAAUAACCUUUCGCAACAAUUCUUCCAUGCCGACAAUCAUUUUGGCUUAAAUAUUUGAUGUUUCAGUUCCAUAGUUCUUAGUCAAGCUGAAUUGAGGAAUAGAAUGAGAUUGCCCAGAUGCUAUCUUCAGUUUAAAUUUAUCUUGAAAAGCCAUAUAGGCAGGGCCGCAUGAAUGGGGAUCAGACUCUGGACUCUGGAGCCUACCAGUUGAUCAGCACUGAAGAUUUAUGUGAGAAAUAGGCAGUGAAGCGAAAAAAAAGUCUCAUACAAGAUCCAUCUCCAGUAAGAAAAGCAAGAGUCAAGGUACAUAUAUACAACAAUAACAUCUCAUAGUUCUUCCAAAGGUUCUGAAAAGUGUCAUUACGCUACUAUCUCACAAGACAUCAUCUUCUUGCAAGUACAGACCACCAUCCGUCUCACAAGACAUCAUCUUCUUGCAAGUACAGACCACCAUCGGUCUCAAUGGGCAUAGAAGGCGGAGUUCCAGGUGGAAUGCAAUCGGCCCCGGCCUCACCUGCAAUGGUACACAAUGCCUCGGCGUCCUGAAU